AAUAUGGAGUUGGUCCCCCUUUGCUGCUAUAACAGCCUCCACUCUUCUGCUAAGUCAUUAAUAUGGAGUUGGUCCCCCUUUGCUGCUAUAACAGCCUCCACUCUUCUGGGAAGUCAUUAAUAUAGAGUUGGUCCCCCCUUUGCUGCUAUAACAGCCUCCACUCUUCUGGGAAGGCUUUCCAGUAGAUGUUGGAACAUUGCUGCUAUAACAGCCUCCACUCUUCUGGGAAGGCUUUCCACUAGAUGUUGGAACAUUGCUGCUAUAACAGCCUCCACUCUUCUGGGAAGGCUUUCCAGUAGAUGUUGGAACAUUGCUGCUAUAACAGCCUCCACUCUUCUGGGAAGGCUUUCCAGUAGAUGUUGGAACAUUGCUGCUAUAACAGCCUCCACUCUUCUGGGAAGGCUUUCCACUAGAUGUUGGAACAUUGCUGCUAUAACAGCCUCCACUCUUCUGGGAAGGCUUUCCACUAGAUGUUGGAACAUUGCUGCGGGACUUGCUUCCAUUCAGCCACAACAGUAUUAGUGAGGUCGGGCACUGAUGUUGGGCGAUUAGUCCUGGCUAACAGUCGGCGUUCCAAUUCAUCCCAAAGGUGUUCGAUAGGGUUGAGGUCAGGGUUGUGUGGGCCAGUUAAGUUCUGCCACACUGUUCAACCAACCAUUUCUGUAUGGACUUCAAUUUGUGCAUGGGGGCGUUGUCAUUCUGAAUCAGGAAAGUGCCUUCACCAAAUUAUUGCCACAAAGUUUGCAGAAUCAUCUAGAAUAUCAUUGUAUUCUGUAGCGUUAAGAUUUUCCUUCACUGGAACUAAGGGGCCUGAACCAUAAACUGCCCCAGACCACCACAGUGCUUGUUAUUUUGGCACGGAACGGCGGACUAUUCUCCACGUUCAGAAAGGGCCAGUCUGGAUUAAUAAGUUAAAUAGCCCUGGUCCAAAGGUACUGCAUCUGGCCACCAGUUAAAUAGCCCCGGUUCAAAGGUACUGCAUCUGGCCACCACCAGUUAAAUAGCCCUGGUCCAAAGGUACUGCAUCUGGCCACCAGUUAAAUAGCCCUGGUCCAAAGGUACUGCAUCUGGCCACCAGUUAAAUAGCCCUGGUUCAAAGGUACUGUUACCACCGCCUGGAAGCCUCACAGUUCUCUAUAGGGUUAGAUAUAUACUGUACCUAACCCAUAGGGAGAGAUAACGUACCUAUAGAGAUAAUUACAGCGCUCACUCUAGGGCUAUCAGACAUAGAACAGACAAAGUUCCCAUUCUACAGGGGCUGCCCAUCUUAUCGCAAUGACUACUCACCCUGAUAAAGUCCACCAGACUGUUGUAGAUGUAGGAUCCUUUAGGCAGGAAGAAACAACUGCCUGGAGACAGAUCAUGGAAGAAGAACAGAUCCUGUUCCUGUAGCAGAGAGUUGAAUGAUCAGUGUUACCCUACAGCAGAUACUAACCAGGAGGACAUCUGCACCACGUCACUGAUCAGUUCCC